AGUGACUGACGGAGAGGGCUUGGACCUGGACGUGUUGAGGAAGACCUUUCAGACUGGACACCAGGACCAGACAUGUGCUCUGAAGCUGCUGGCUGAGAUUGUGGGCGAUGGUCAAGUUGAUCCCAUAUCAACCUACCAGAUCCAUGGUGUGGUUCAGCUGGGAUAUGGACUCUUGGCUGUGCCGCACGGCAUUACGAACCUUGACCACAGCUCUCCGACGCUGAGUAAAUACGACAAACAGAGGAGGACAAAGAAGCAGUUGUUAGAUUUUAGAAUUUUCACAGGCCAAAAAUGAGUGUGACUCUAGAACCAAGAAUGAGAUUGAGAAUCAAAGGUCUCUUUGAGAUUCUCGUAUGGAAUUUGCUCCGCACAUGAAUCGGAUUAGCGUUUAUUUUACAGGAAAACAGACUCUUUCCCAGGAAAUUCCCACGAGUCUUGGUUGUGAUUUUGUAAAUAUUACGCGCGUAUAACAGAAUACAGAAGGACAGAGGCGGUGUUGUUUCAAUGCAAGUAUUUUAAAAGUCAUGAAAUACCACGAGACCAUCACAAGAUACAUGUGGAGUCUUAAAUAUGCAGGCCUAUACAUUUCACUGAAUCACAGCCAGUUUUAAACCACAACAAUGUUAUUUUGACAUUACACUAUUUUUACAUUACAGUCACGUCUCAUCAG